UACAGAGGGUGCAAGCGUUAAUCGGAAUUACUGGGCGUAAAGCGUGCGUAGUCGGUCAUCCAAGUCGGGUGUGAAAGCCCCGGGCUCAACCUGGGAAUUGCAUUCGAUACUGUUUGGCUAGAGUUCGGCAGAGGGAAGCGGAAUUUCCGGUGUAGCGGUGAAAUGCGUAGAUAUCGGAAGGAACAUCAGUGGCGAAAGCGGCUUCCUGGACCAGAACUGACGAUCAGGCACGAAAGCGUGGGGAGCAAACAGG
rnacentral:rRNA from 1 species